rnacentral:rRNA from 1 species
CCUACGGGAGGCUGCGGUGGGGAAUAUUGCACAAUGGGGGAAACCCUGAUGCAGCGACGCCGCGUGAGUGAAGAAGUAAUUCGUUAUGUAAAGCUCUAUCAGCAGGGAAGAACAUGACGGUACCUGAGUAAGAAGCCCCGGCUAACUACGUGCCAGCAGCCGCGGUAAUACGUAGGGGGCAAGCGUUAUCCGGAUUUACUGGGUGUAAAGGGCUCGUAGACGGCAGGGCAAGUCUGGAGUGAAAGGCGGGGGCUCAACCCCCGGACUGCUCUUGAUACUGUACGGCUGGAGUGCAGUAGAGGUAAAUGGAAUUCCUGGUGUAGCGGUGAAAUGCGUAGAUAUUAGGAGGAACACCAGUGGCGAAGGCGGCUUACUGGACUGUAACUGACGUUGAGGCUCGAAAGCGUGGGUAGCAAACAGGAUUAGAUACCCGGGUAGUC